GACGUAGGGCGCGAGCGUUGUCCGGAUUUAUUGGGCGUAAAGAGCUCGUAGGCGGCUUGUUGCGUCAGCUGUGAAAACCCGCGGCUCAACUGCGGGUCUGCAGUCGAUACGGGCAGGCUAGAGUUCGGUAGGGGAGACUGGAAUUCCUGGUGUAGCGGUGAAAUGCGCAGAUAUCAGGAGGAACACCGAUGGCGAAGGCAGGUCUCUGGGCCGAUACUGACGCUGAGGAGCGAAAGCAUGGGGAGCGAACAGG
rnacentral:rRNA from 1 species